rnacentral:rRNA from 1 species
AGUGAACGCUGGCGGUAGGCCUAACACAUGCAAGUCGAACGGCAGCACAGUAAGAGCUUGCUCUUACGGGUGGCGAGUGGCGGACGGGUGAGGAAUACAUCGGAAUCUACUUUUUCGUGGGGGAUAACGUAGGGAAACUUACGCGAAUACCGCAUACGACCUACGGGUGAAAGCAGGGGAUCUUCGGACCUUGCGCGAUUGAAUGAGCCGAUGUCGGAUUAGCUAGUUGGCGGGGUAAAGGCCCACCAAGGCGACGAUCCGUAGCUGGUCUGAGAGGAUGAACAGCCACCGUGGAACUGAGAAAGGGUCCAGACUCCUACGGGAGGCAGCAGUGGGGAAUAUUAGACAAUGGGCGCAUGCCUGACACAGCAAUACGGCGUGAGUGAAGAAGGCCCUCGGCUUUUAAAGCCCUUUUGUUGGUAAAGAAAAAAAGCAGUUUAAUCCCCCGCUGUUCUGACGGUACCGAAAGAAUAAGCACCGGCUAACUUCGUG